ACACAAGAACAAAUCAUCCUUUGACCAUUGAUAUGGUCUUAUAUGCAAAUAUUAAUUACUUGCACAUUACCAAAGAGCAAACAGUGCAGAUAAAACCAUACACUGGUAAGGAAAGAGAAGGCAAAAGAGUGCAAAAUAAAAUAUUUCUGUGUAAUUUAAAUUGUUAAAUGGUUUGCAGUUUUUUUCAUGCUGCUGACGAUUCUUGAAAUUGGGAAUGAGGAUAUGGCUGGUUAUGGCGUUUGCAAUAGCAAAUAACCUGUAACAUUCUUACUGGGAAGCUAGGCCAUUGAGGUUAGUCUUAAACAUUAGGAACCCCUCGCAUGGCCGUCCGAAGGGGGGGUGUGCGUUGGGUGCGACCGCAUCCCCCUUUUUCCCCCCAGAGUAAGAAAAAAUCCCGAGAAAAUUAAAAAAAAUAUAUCAGAGCGCAAUCAGCGUUUCCACUUUGACAGAAACCACCCGAAAUUCUGGUUCCAGCCCGCUGGAUGAUUUGGGUGAAAAAAAAUGCGACAAUCCGUGCCUGCACAGUUGGGGAAGUGACGCAAAAUUACCCCGUCUCUCCACGCAUCUUCAGUGGGCCCGGGCGGGAUCACACUGCCAUUUGCACUCCACAUAUUCAGCUCGAUGCCUUGUGUCUACUCCAGCGCUUACAGUUCUGAAGACCUGGGUUCGAUCCUGCCUAUGGGCGCUUGCCUGUACAGAGUUUCUACGUUCUCCACGUGACCGCGUGUGUUUUCUCGGAGAUCUUCAGUUUCCUCCCACGGCCGAAAGACAUAUAGGUCAGUACAGCAGGAGGAAUCUGUUCUGGAUCCUCAGGCAGGAAGUAUAGAAGCCUGAAGUCCCACGCCACCAGGUUCAAGAACAGCUAUUUUUCUGCAACCAUCUUGCUCUUGAGCCAACAUGCUGAGCCCUACCUUGGUAAUGGAACACUAUGGACCAUCUAUUGCUAUAACCACCUAUCCUGCACUCGUUUUCUAAUUGCGUUGUCUUGUUUUUUUUGCAGUCUUGCACUUUUCACUGUUUUGUGGAACAUAUGUAUAAUUUUGCAUAAUGUAUGGCUUUGUUUGUUGUUUGUGUCUGUGUGUCUGCGAUACUGCUGCAUGCAAGAUUUUCAUGGUAUUGUAGCUCACUAUAUUUGUGGAAAUAAUAAUAAACUCAAUUUGACUUACUUGUCUAAGACUUUCCUGCAAAUAUUUUAUCAGUGAGAAUCAGCACCCUUAAAUCUAUUUCUUCCUUGUUAGUACUGACAAUAAUGUAAUUUUUUCUGAAAUACAUUCAGUCAGAAAGUACUUAUUUUUAUCUGUCUUUCCAUUAAUACAAGAUAUCAUCAACUGCAUGCACAUUUCAAUUAGUUUAGUUUGGAGCUACAGCAUGGAAACAAAUCCUUUGGCCCAUUGAGUCCACAGGUACCAUCGAUCAGCCACUCACACAUUAGAUCUAUGUUAUCCCAGUUUCUCACCCACUCCCUUCACACUAAGGGCAAUUUGACAGCAGUCAAUUAAUCUACAAGCAUGCAUGUCUUUGGGAUCUUUGAGGAAACCCGGACACCAAGAGGAUACCUAUGCAGACAAAGGGAGAAUGAUCAAACUUCACACAAACAACACUGGAGGUGAGGAUCGAACCCGGGCCUCUGGUGCUUUGAGGCAGCAUCAAUUAAGGCACCACCAGAUCAUGCAGGUGUGUUUUUAAUCUGCAAAGCUUUUGACUGAAGGAGGCACAAGGAACUGCAUUUGGUGGAAUCAUCAGUAAAACACAAUGUACUGGAGUAACUCAUCAGACCAGACAACAUUCUGGAGGACAUGGAUAGGCAACAUUUCUUGUCGGGACCCUUCUUCAGAUGGUUUUGCCUGCUCUCUUACUCAUCAUCCCAAACAAACUUGGCACAAACUAGCCUGCAUGCAAAAAAAGGGCAAAUCACAAAUGGGGUGGGUGGAAAGAAAGAAUAUUCUUGUGACAACAAUGUGUAAUCCCGAUAUACAUACACAUGAACCAAUAUAAUUGGUUUCUAUUCCCUUCAUUAACACUGCUGCAUGCGACAAAAUGUGCUUUCACCAGAAAAACUGCUCAGAUUUCUUCUCAGAAUACAAUAGAAGCAGAUAGAAUCACAACUUUUAAAAGACGUGGACAUGUCAGUCUGAUAUCCCAAAUUAAUUGACAUGGACGAAGGAAGUGCAGAACUUGUUCCCGUGCUAUGUAGAUCUAUGACUAUGACAGAAAUGCUCUCGGUCUCUGGAUUUGAUAACUUUGACAUUCUCACCAAAUAUUGUAUAACCAGCCCCAGAGUAGGGAAGACUCAAACAUUAUGAGACAGUAUAUUAGAUGUUGAAUGGGGAUGAGAGGGGAUUACUCAUGAGAAUCGUGUUCGGAACCAUUUCUAGCAGGUUUAUUUUUAGUUUUUGAAACUCUAUUAACACAACAUAAAAUAAUUGUAUUCUCAUCAAGAUAAAACAGGGUUGUGGUGAGCAGGAAUAAAUACCUGGAAGUUUGCUAAAAAUAGAAAAUACUGGAUGGUUGCAGUAGCUUUUACUGCCAUUGUUAAUUCAACCCGACCAGUUGAACAGGCUUUUUCUCUGAGGCUGCCAUGAUGCACAGACAGCUGAAAUGAAAAUCUCAGCAAGCAAUGGAAGCAUUCUUCCAAACAAUGAAAUAUGUUGCACCUACAUCUAUGCACACUUUUAUAUGGGUAGUAUCUUAUUGAACUUUGUCCCUCUAUUUGCCUCCUAUCUGCUGUUCAGCACCUCUUGCUUCACUCUGCUGGACACAUGUCACUGGAUAUCUUCCUCCUGUGCGGAUCUCGCAUGUGUGUGUGUUUUCUUAAUGGUUCCCCACCCUUUUAUGAACUCAUUACUCUUCUGUGCACCAAAUAUAUGUAUCUCUUCCUUGCGUGCUUCUCUCUGGCGCACCUAUCUUCUAGGCACCUGCUGAUCUCACAACAGCAUAUCGUCACUGCUACAGAUGCCAGUUGUCUUCCUUGUCUGAAGUAGUGCUGAAAAAUGCAUGGCACUCACAUCUUGCAACUGCCAAAACAAAAACCCUAAAAGGCUCAACAAAGUCAUCUGAGCUGACAACAACAGACUGUGAAAUAUUUGCCAGAGGGAACUGGCAACAUAUUUGUAAGCACUGAGCCUCUACUGCAAUUGGAAUAUCUGAACUUUAAAGACCCCCAAGAAGGGCACUUGAAACUCGCCCCCUUAACAUUGACGAGUUUCCCAUGCUCGGCAAACCCGUGCUGGAGGCUGCAUCAAAGAAAUCUUCAAAUGAAUUGAUAUUCUCCAUGUUUUCAUGUGCCACACUCUCAUUGUUAUUAUUGUUUGGUCCCAGCCAGCCUGCACUAAUACUCAAAAUGUGCAGGAAGGAACUGCAGAUGCUGGUUUAUACUAAAGGUAGACACAAAAUGCUAGAGUAACUCAGCGGGUCAGGCAACAUCCCUGGAGAAAAGGAGUAGGUGACGUUUCGGAACAGAACCCUUGUUCAGACUGAGAGUCAGGGGAGAGGGAAACUAGAGGUAUGAAAUGAACCAUCAUAUUUGUGGUUCUUUGUACCAUUUCUGAAAAAGGGUCUCGUCCCAAAACGUCACCUAUUCCUUUUCUCCAGAGAUGCUGCCUGGCCCUCUAAAUUACUCCAGCAUUUUGUGUCUAUCUUUUGUACUAAUAGUUCUUGCUCAUAUAUACAGGUACUUUCACACGGCCAAAUACAUCUUAUUUUAACUGAAAAGGAGAUUAACUCAGAAGUUGAAGAUUAAUAUGCCUCUGAUUUGUGAUUAGCCUGACCCAUUUUUAUUCACCUGUCACCAUUUCCUCAAAGCAGUCACAAUGGCGUAGCUGGUAGAGCUGCUGCCUUACAGUGGCAGAAACUCGGGUUCGAUUCCGACCUUGCGUGCAGUCUGCAUGAGGUUUGCACAUUUCCCCUUUGAGUUUCUUCCGGAUGCUCCUAUAUCCUCCCAUGUCCCAAAGAUGUGCAGGUUUAUGUUAAUUGGCCUCUGUAAAUUGACUAGU